rnacentral:lncRNA from 1 species
UAAGGGCCAUCUUACACCGUCGACAAAUUCUAUCCAACAGACUAAAUCAUCUCAAUAUUUCCUUUCUCUCUCGCUAUUGUUUAUGUUAUUUUCUAUAAUCAAAUUUUUCUCACCUUCUCUCUUUCUCAAUGUAUCCUCUCCAUCAAGUUCAUGUGAAAUCAUGAAACCCAGAAGACUAAAUCAUUUUUCAUUUACUCAAUGAUUACUAGAAGGUUAGUUCUCUCUUUACACAAUAAAUUUGUUAUGUGUUUUGAUUAUUUCUUUGGUAGAUCAAAGAAUUUGUUAUUUGUAUUUUAGGUUUCAUUGGUAGAUAUGAAGAAUCAAUUUGUUAUAGAUGAUUGCAAAUCUGAAGAACUAGCGCCACCAGUACCACAUCUGAAAGUCUCCACAAAUUCACCACCAACACAUGUCAACUUGAAUCGUCCACUGGCGCACCUCAAAACCUCUUGACACCAUCACAUCCCAGACCCUCUGGCCACCGCCAUGGUUUUGUUGCCCCACGCCUAUCGUCGCUCCAUCGCUCCAUCAAUGUCGAUAUCAAUAUUUAAUAAAUCAAUUGAUAUAUGUUAUUGUAUUUAUGUGUUUGUUAUGAUUUUUAAAAAUAGAAAAUUAUAUUUAUUUCAUAUUUCCUUAUUUGUUUUUAUUUUUUCUAUUUGUUAGUUAAUUUUUUCAAAAAAAUUUUAAUAGUUUUUCACUAAGAAGUCGCUAAUAUACGAUUUUAGAUACUGUCACA